rnacentral:rRNA from 1 species
AUUGAACGCUGGCGGCAGGCCUAAUACAUGCAAGUCGAACGGUAACAUAAAAGAAGCUUGCUUCUUUUGAUGACGAGUGGCGGACGGGUGAGUAAUAUUUGGGAAACUACCUGAUAGAGGGGGACAACAGUUGGAAACGACUGCUAAUACCGCAUAAAGCCUGAGGGUGAAAGCAGCAAUGCGCUAUCAGAUGUGCCCAAACGGGAUUAGCUAGUAGGUGAGGUAAAGGCUCACCUAGGCGACGAUCUCUAGCUGGUCUGAGAGGAUGAUCAGCCACAUUGGGACUGAGACACGGCCCAGACUCCUACGGGAGGCAGCAGUAGGGAAUAUUGCACAAUGGAGGAAACUCUGAUGCAGCCAUGCCGCGUGUGUGAAGAAGGCCUUCGGGUUGUAAAGCACUUUCGAGGGAGGAAAGAUGACGUUACCCUCACGAAGAAGCACCGGCGUAACUCCGUG